rnacentral:tRNA from 1 species
UGUUCUGUGGCGGAGUUGGAUAACGUGCCCUGUCUAGCGAACUUGGGGAGACGUGAGUUCAAACCCCACCAGAACUA